rnacentral:rRNA from 1 species
AGAGUUUGAUCAUGGCUCAGCCUGAACGCUGGCGGCGUGGCUAAGACAUGCAAGUCGUACGGACGUAGCAAUACGUCAGUGGCGGACGGGUGAGUAAUGUAUCGCUAACGUACCCCGGAAUCUGGGAUAGCCAGCCGAAAGGCUGGGUAAUACCAGAUGAGACCACGGCAGGGCAUCCUGCAGUGCUCAAAGGGAAACCGUUCCGGGAGCGGGCGAUAUCGUAUCAGCUAGUUGGUGAGGUAACGGCUCACCAAGGCGACGACGCGUAGCCGGGCUGAGAGGUCGGCCGGCCACAUUGGGACUGAGACACUGCCCAGACUCCUACGGGGGGCUGCAGUAACGAAUCUUCCGCAAUGCACGCAAGUGUGACGGAGCGACGCCGCGUGUGGGAUGAAGUUCUUCGGAAUGUAAACCACUGUCAGAGGAAAGAAAGUUCUGAUCUACCUCAGAGGAAGGGGCGGCUAACUCUGUGCCAGCCGCCGCGGUAAUAC